UACAGAGGGGGCAAGCGUUGUUCGGAAUUACUGGGCGUAAAGGGCGCGUAGGCGGCCUUCUAAGUCGAACGUGAAAUCCCCGGGCUCAACCCGGGAACUGCGUCCGAUACUGGAAGGCUUGAAUCCGGGGGAGGGAUGUGGAAUUCCAGGUGUAGCGGUGAAAUGCGUAGAUAUCUGGAGGAACACCGGUGGCGAAGGCGACAUCCUGGACCGGUAUUGACGCUGAGGAGCGAAAGCGUGGGGAGCAAACAGG
rnacentral:rRNA from 1 species